rnacentral:tRNA from 2 species
GGAAAUGUGGCCGAGUGGUUGAAGGCACCUGUCUUGAAAACAGGCGUACAGCAAUGUAUCGUGAGUUCGAAUCUCACCAUUUCCG